UACGGAGGGUGCGAGCGUUGUCCGGAAUCACUGGGCGUAAAGGGCGCGUAGGCGGCGCGGAUAGUCGGCGGUGAAAGCCCGGAGCUCAACUCCGGGUCGGCCGUCGAUACUUCCGGGCUUGAGCACUGUAGAGGCAGAUGGAAUUCCGGGUGUAGCGGUGGAAUGCGUAGAGAUCCGGAAGAACACCGGUGGCGAAGGCGGUCUGCUGGGCAGUUGCUGACGCUGAGGAGCGAAAGCGUGGGGAGCGAACAGG
rnacentral:rRNA from 1 species